rnacentral:rRNA from 1 species
CUCAGAUUGAACGCUGGCGGCAGGCCUAACACAUGCAAGUCGAGCGGAUGAAGGGAGCUUGCUCCCUGAUUCAGCGGCGGACGGGUGAGUAAUGCCUAGGAAUCUGCCUGGUAGUGGGGGACAACGUUUCGAAAGGAACGCUAAUACCGCAUACGUCCUACGGGAGAAAGCAGGGGACCUUCGGGCCUUGCGCUAUCAGAUGAGCCUAGGUCGGAUUAGCUAGUUGGUGAGGUAAUGGCUCACCAAGGCGACGAUCCGUAACUGGUCUGAGAGGAUGAUCAGUCACACUGGAACUGAGACACGGUCCAGACUCCUACGGGAGGCAGCAGUGGGGAAUAUUGGACAAUGGGCGAAAGCCUGAUCCAGCCAUGCCGCGUGUGUGAAGAAGGUCUUCGGAUUGUAAAGCACUUUAAGUUGGGAGGAAGGGUUGCUGAUUAAUACUCUGCAAUUUUGACGUUACCGACAGAAUAAGCACCGGCUAACUCUGUGCCAGCAGCCGCGGUAAUACAGAGGGUGCAAGCGUUAAUCGGAAUUACUGGGCGUAAAGCGCGCGUAGGUGGUUUGUUAAGUUGGAUGUGAAAGCCCCGGGCUCAACCUGGGAACUGCAUCCAAAACUGGCAAGCUAGAGUAGGGCAGAGGGUGGUGGAAUUUCCUGUGUAGCGGUGAAAUGCGUAGAUAUAGGAAGGAACACCAGUGGCGAAGGCGACCACCUGGGCUCAUACUGACACUGAGGUGC